rnacentral:rRNA from 1 species
CGCAUCUGUGCAUGCAGCAUAUCAAUAAGCGGAGGAAAAGAAACUAACAAGGAUUCCCUUAGUAACGGCGAGUGAAGCGGGAAGAGCUCAAAUUUGAAAUCUUCAAGGUUUUACCUUGACGAAUUGUAGUUUAAAGAAGUGUUUUCUGUUGAAGUUUUGGUAAAAGUUCUUUGGAAUAGGACAUCAUAGAGGGUGGGAAUCCCGUAUUUGACCAUUAUUUUCAGCUGUGUGAUACACUUUCAAAGAGUCGGAUUGUUUGGGAAUGCAGUCCAAAAUGGGUGGUAAAUUUCAUCUAAAGCUAAAUAUUGGCGAGAGACCGAUAGCGAACAAGUACCGUGAGGGAAAGAUGAAAAGAACUUUGAAAAGAGAGUUAAACAGUACGUGAAAUUGUCAAAAGGGAAGCGUUUGACACCAGUGUUGUUUUCUCGAAAAUCAAUUAAAAAGAGUUUGAUUUUGUUGUGUAUUGACCUUAACAGCUUGCAUUUCAAUUUUCUUGCUUUUUUUAAUGCACUUUUCGUUUAACAAGUCAACAUCAGUUUCUUUUGUUGUAAAAAGGUCAUUGGAAGGUGGCUUUCUUUUCGGAGAAAGUGUUUAUAGCCUUUGACUCCUGCAAUCGGAGAGACUGAGGUCUGCAGCGUAGAUCCUUCGGGGUUAGAUACAUUUGUGCUAAGUCAUAGCUUUUUAUAGACAACUUGUUGACUAUGAUUAGUCUUGUAGCUUACUCGCUUAUGCUAUUUUACCUACGCUUAGGAUGUUGACGCGCGUGUGUGCGUG